rnacentral:rRNA from 1 species
UGGGUUAGUGGCGGACGGGUGGGUAACGCGUGGGUAACCUGCCUUACACAGGGGGAUAACACUUAGAAAUAGGUGCUAAAACCGCAUAAGCGCACAGCUUCGCAUGAAGCGGUGUGAAAAACUCCGGUGGUGUAAGAUGGACCCGCGUCUGAUUAGCUUGUUGGCGGGGUAACGGCCCACCAAGGCGACGAUCAGUAGCCGGCCUGAGAGGGCGGACGGCCACAUUGGGACUGAGACACGGCCCAGACUCCUACGGGAGGCAGCAG